rnacentral:misc_RNA from 1 species
GCUUCAUCGACUCAUACAAGAAUUUAUCGACUCAUACUAAGGCGCUCUGCGAUCCUCGCACAUUUUAUGUAAAUAAUCACUUGAGCAGAAGUUGAAGAUCGGGGUCGUCCAUGUCGAGAUCUAGCCAACCGUACAACCGCAUGUACUCGAUGUAGUGGUCAGGCGGCUUUAUCGCACGAGGAUUCUUUGGAGCAAAUUCAUGCACCCUACGAAUGUCGCGAUCAAGCCAUUUAACAUAAGCUUGAUCAAGUGGAGGCGGCACCCUCACCAGAAUUUCUUCACCUCCUUGCUUCGCAGGUUUGUUCCCCAUUCU